rnacentral:rRNA from 1 species
AGGUUAAGCUACAAAGAGCACACGGAGGAUGCCUAGGCGCCAGGAGCCGACGAAGGACGUGGCGAACAACGAUAAGGCCUCGGGGAGCUGUAAGCAAGCUUUGAUCCGGGGAUGUCCGAAUGGGGAAACCCGGCUGUCUUCAUCGACAGUCACUACUCACUGAAUACAUAGGUGAGUGAGAGGCAGACCAGGGGAACUGAAACAUCUAAGUACCCUGAGGAAGAGAAAACAAUAGUGAUUCCGUCAGUAGCGGCGAGCGAACGCGGAUUAGCCCAAACCAAGGAGCUUGCUCCUUGGGGUUGUGGGACGUCUCACAUGGAGUUACAAAGGAACCGGUUAGAUGAAGAGGUCUGGAAAGGCCCGCCAGAGAAGGUAAAAGCCCUGUAGUUCAAAACUUGUUCCCUCCGAGACGGAUCCCGAGUAGUGCGGGGCACGUGAAACCCCGUAUGAAUCCGGCAGGACCAUCUGCCAAGGCUAAAUACUCCCUGGCGACCGAUAGUGAAGCAGUACCGUGAGGGAAAGGUGAAAAGCACCCCGGAAGGGGAGUGAAAUAGAUCCUGAAACCGUGUGCUUACAAGAAGUCAGAGCCCGAUCUAUGGGUGAUGGCGUGCCUUUUGUAGAAUGAACCGGCGAGUUACGUUCCGUGCAAGGUUAAGGUGAAGAGCUGAAGCCGCAGCGAAAGCGAGUCUGAAUAGGGCGAAUGAGUACGUGGACGUAGACCCGAAACCGGGUGAUCUACCCCUGUCCAGGGUGAAGGUGCGGUAACACGCACUGGAGGCCCGAACCCACGCAUGUUGAAAAAUGCGGGGAUGAGGUGGGGGUAGCGGAGAAAUUCCAAUCGAACCCGGAGAUAGCUGGUUCUCCCCGAAAUAGCUUUAGGGCUAGCCUCGGAAAAAAGAAUCGUGGAGGUAGAGCACUGAUUGGGUGCGGGGCCCGCAAGGGUUACCAAGCUCAGUCAAACUCCGAAUGCCAUAGAUUUAGUUCCGGGAGUCAGACAGUGAGUGCUAAGAUCCAUUGUCGAAAGGGAAACAGCCCAGACCAUCAGCUAAGGUCCCAAGUGUGUGUUAAGUGGGAAAGGAUGUGGAGUUGCACAGACAACCAGGAUGUUGGCUUAGAAGCAGCCACCAUUGAAAGAGUGCGUAAUAGCUCACUGGUCGAGUGACUCUGCGCCGAAAAUGUAACGGGGCUAAACACACCACCGAAGCUAUGGCUUGAUGCUUGCAUCAGGGGUAGGGGAGCGUUGAAUGCGGGUUGAAGGUGUACCGGAAGGAGCGCUGGACUGCA